GGGUUGGUGACGAGAGACGGCGGAACGACGGGCGAGAAGGCUGCGCCUUUUCUGUUUUUCCUAAACUCAUCUAGGGUUUUGGGAUCUCAUGGAGAUUUUGUAUGGAUGCUUGUGUAAGCAUUUUUUGAACACAUCUUUGAUGGAAUAAAGAUCAAGUUGAGUAAGUUGAUGUGUUGGUAAUCUCGUUCUCCUCUUCGCUCAUUGCUUUGUUUGUCCAUUCAUAUUUACGGUUUUGGAUCUAGAUUGUUUUCUUACUCAUCAUGAUUAAACUUGUUUUGAUCCAUCCAAAACCGUGUUAGGGUUUCAUGUUAGUGAUCUGAUAAGUUUGGUUGGUUAGGCCUAAUUAGUUUUUGAUUAAUCUCGAAAUUAGGUUUUGGCUAAUUCGCGACAUCAUUCGACACAGUCUGCUUGUUUUAUUUAUAUCUCAAGUUCAAGACCUCCGUUUGACGUGAUUCCUAUUGGGUUAGUUUCAUAAUUUGAUAAAUUAUUUCUGGCCAAGUUUCACGAUUUUAGCAGUUACUGUUGAAGAACGACAUACGAUUUAGUGGAGUGUCCAGAAUCUGUUUUAAGGGUGAAAAGUUUUCCGCUGUGAUUUGUGCUAUCAUUCACCCCCCUCUGAUAGCUAGAUUAGAGGGCUUCGAUCCUACAAGUGGUACCAGAGCUAGUUUGUUUUCUAAUUUAUCUUAACCGGU
rnacentral:lncRNA from 1 species